AUGACUCAGGAACCUUUAUAUCCCGAGGGCCAUCCUAAGAGAAUUGAGCAAGAUUCUCAGAGAAUUAAUGUUGAUGCACCUAGUUUUUCUAAAGAGAAGAAAAAGGAAAAUGAUAGGACCUUGCAUGCUUUUAAUGAACCUGUUAUUAACACAGCUGAUAAUCCCAAUGAUAUUUCUAUUUCUGAUGUUGAAACACAAUCUGGUAAUGAACCUGAACCUAGUGAUAAUGUUAAUUAUGAUGUUCAUGUUGAUGCUCAACCUAGUAAUAACAAUGAUGUAGAAAUUGAACCUGUUGUUGAUCUUGAUAACCCACAAUCAAAGAAUCAACGUUAUGAUAAGAGAGACUUCGUUGCUAGGAAGCACGGUAAAGAAAGAGAACCAUGGGUUUAG
rnacentral:rRNA from 1 species